ensembl:snRNA U12 U12 minor spliceosomal RNA
GUGCGUUAAACUUAUGAAUAAGGAAAAUAACUAUUCCGAGUGAGUGAAGCCCGAAUCCUCACUGCUAACGUGAGGCGAAUUUUUGAGUCGGUACAGGUUGCCCCUAAAGUGACCCGCUUACUUUGCGGGAUGCCUGGGAGUGGCGAUUUGCCUG